GACGAACGCUGGCGGCGUGCUUAACACAUGCAAGUCGAACGGAAAGGCCCUGCUUUUGUGGGGUGCUCGAGUGGCGAACGGGUGAGUAGCACGUGAGUAACCUGCCCUUGACUUUGGGAUAACUUCAGGAAACUGGGGCUAAUACCGGAUAGGAGCUCCUGCUGCAUGGUGGGGGUUGGAAAGUUUCGGCGGUUGGGGAUGGACUCGCGGCUUAUCAGCUUGUUGGUGGGGUAGUGGCUUACCAAGGCUUUGACGGGUAGCCGGCCUGAGAGGGUGACCGGCCACAUUGGGACUGAGAUACGGCCCAGACUCCUACGGGAGGCAGCAGUGGGGAAUAUUGCACAAUGGGCGGAAGCCUGAUGCAGCAACGCCGCGUGCGGGAUGACGGCCUUCGGGUUGUAAACCGCUUUCGCCUGUGACGAAGCGUGAGUGACGGUAAUGGGUAAAGAAGCACCGGCUAACUACGUGCCAGCAGCCGCGGUGAUACGUAGGGUGCGAGCGUUGUCCGGAUUUAUUGGGCGUAAAGGGCUCGUAGGUGGUUGAUCGCGUCGGAAGUGUAAUCUUGGGGCUUAACCCUGAGCGUGCUUUCGAUACGGGUUGACUUGAGGAAGGUAGGGGAGAAUGGAAUUCCUGGUGGAGCGGUGGAAUGCGCAGAUAUCAGGAGGAACGCCAGUGGCGAAGGCGGUUCUCUGGGCCUUUCCUGACGCUGAGGAGCGAAAGCGUGGGGAGCGAACAGGCUUAGAUACCCUGGUAGUCCACGCUGUAAACGGUGGGUACUAGGUGUGGGGUCCAUUCCACGGGUUCCGUGCCGUAGCUAACGCUUUAAGUACCCCGCCUGGGGAGUACGGCCGCAAGGCUAAAACUCAAAGGAAUUGACGGGGCCCCGCACAAGCGGCGGAGCAUGCGGAUUAAUUCGAUGCAACGCGUAGAACCUUACCUGGGUUUGACAUGGAUCGGGAGCGCUCAGAGAUGGGUGUGCCUCUUUUGGGGUCGGUUCACAGGUGGUGCAUGGCUGUCGUCAGCUCGUGUCGUGAGAUGUUGGGUUAAGUCCCGCAACGAGCGCAACCCUUGUUCACUGUUGCCAGCACGUUAUGGUGGGGACUCAGUGGAGACCGCCGGGGUCAACUCGGAGGAAGGUGGGGAUGACGUCAAGUCAUCAUGCCCCUUAUGUCCAGGGCUUCACGCAUGCUACAAUGGCUGGUACAGAGAGUGGCGAGCCUGUGAGGGUGAGCGAAUCUCGGAAAGCCGGUCUCAGUUCGGAUUGGGGUCUGCAACUCGACCUCAUGAAGUCGGAGUCGCUAGUAAUCGCAGAUCAGCAACGCUGCGGUGAAUACGUUCCCGGG
rnacentral:rRNA from 1 species